rnacentral:sRNA from 1 species
UGUGAGGACGUUGAAUGAAAGUCAAGAAAAUGAACUUAAAAUAUCAAAGUACCUUAUUUCAGGCAGUGCGAGUAGCAGAGAGGGCGAUUUUUUUGCUUUCAAAUUUUAUUUAUUUGGCACUGUCACAGAAGAGACGAUCCUCUACCAGGAUCACUCUCCCUUGACAAAACAGCUGAGAUGGUCGCUAGAGCUACCCUAUUACGUAUCCAAGCUAAUGUUAAAAGGUGUGGCAUGGUGAAAAAGAAAUGGUCUGGUUUCAUUUUCAGCACAGAGUAAUCAUUGCUGUAAAUUAACAUCACCAACUCCUGCUUAAAAUCCAUCAUCCAUGAACUGCACGGGUUUUUAUAGACAGAAAUUACAUUCGCGCCUACCAAAACAUUUCCUUUUCUGGUGUGCGUAUACAGAUGUGUAAAAAUAACUCGCUUAUAAUGCCAUCGACAUGUCUUUGUUAAGUAAGCCUUCAUGCUAUAACCCACAAUCAGAAUUCAAUCCCGUUGAUCUUCCCUUUGACACACAGGAAUCCUUCCUCAUCCUUCGAUGGUGUCAAUGCUAAUCAGCCCUUGCAGCUGCUUGGGCGAGCUGGUCACAUCUCUCCAAGUGUCUCUGGUGUGGCCACAUCUGGCCUGGGUAAAGAUGUGUCUUCCUUGGCAGAAUCUUUUGUGGUGUGCGGCUCCAUCGGGACCACGCCUCGUGACAACGACAAAUCGCCACCCCCUUUCUUCUUCAAUUAACAGUUCUGGGACAGAGGUUGUGGGCCAGGGCUAGAGCCAACGUAGACCGAGAUGAAGACCAGGAAGAGCAGGAGUAGGAAGAGGCUGGCCGCCACCGCGGUGACUGCGAACAGCUCCAUCCUCAGCUCCGCACGCGUGACCAGGACUCCCGGACUGCAGCGAAGCAAAGGGUUGCCAUGGGAACCGCAGUGGCGCCCCCCACGGAACCCCGCGUUUAUUACGGAGAAUCGAUCUGCACCAGCCAGCGCCGCUGCUACAGCCGAGGCCGCUGGAGGCUAGAGGGGGAGGCAUUGGGGGCGGGGAGCAGAGGCGCAGGGCAUCCGCCCCUCCUCCACCCACCUCCACCCAUCCGGGUUCAGGAACUGCAGAAAUCCGAGAAUUGCGUUUAGUGCAAAUUGCUGAAGCUCCCUACUGGGUUCUCAGCGGUGGGCGGCACAAAGACUCACGGGGAGCGGACGGCAGGGAAGGUCGGAGCACCGGUGCCAUGCAGCCCCUCCCCUGCUGCGUCUCCCUGCCUCCCACAAACCGUAGGCAGGCGUGCAAGUUCGAGGCCACAGGGCGGGCUUGUAGGUCCACCUCUCAGCCCAGACUGAACUUGAUCACUGUGUCCCCUGCGGCGUGCCCUUAAGGCUGGGAGGAAAAGAAAAUUCUCCCGGAAUCUUCGUUACAAGUUCGUUUCCUUUACUCGCCCCCAAUCCAGGGACACUGGAAGGCACGCUUGGGGUCCUGAAGGAAGAGAUGCGGUCCGGGCUGGGUAUAGCCAUCUCGGUUCGCAGCCCCUGAGACGCAACGACAGUCCCUCACUUGUCCACCUCCGCUCCCGACUGACUUUUCUGCUCCGGUUUUCCUAUAUGCUGUGUACAGUGUCCCUGGUCCUCAGCCUGCUGUCAUGAAAAAUACUGCAACGAGGUGCAUAUGAGUUUGUGCAUGUGACUGCAGGUGUGCUGGAGGCCAGAGGUCAGAUCUCCUGGAGCUGGAGUUAGAGGCAGCCCUGAGCUGCCCCAUGUGCAUAUGGGAACUAAACAGGAGUCCUCUGCAAGAGGCUGUCUGUUCUUAACUGGUGAGUCAUCUCUUCAGUCCUGAUAAUCUUUGUUUUAAAGGUGGGGAAACUGAGACUCAGAUAUUCUUUAAUAUUGGUAAGCAACACAGUCAGGAUUUGAUUGGUUUUCUCACUUGUGAACCAGCACAAGCUAUCGAAAAGAGGAAACCAGUUUUAGCAAAGUUGUAGCCACUGAGUCCAAGGAACUUCACUUGUGACAUAGGUUUGUAUAAUCUGAACAUUAGGACACCUUUCAGGCAUCUUUCCCUUUUGUUUCUUCCUACAAUACGAGAUCUGGGACUCCCAGAGUAGUGUCUGAGCAGCAGGGCCCCCAAACAUGUCCCACAGAGUUUAAUGAAGAGCUCCCAUGCAGAACGAGGUUGGGUGAGCCGAUUUCAGGGCUUACCUGCUCCCAGUCAUUUAGCAUUUAACAUCUUACUCAGCUGGGUAAGUUAUACCGGAGGAAAGGCUGAGGGAUAAGGACAUGUCAACAAGCAAGGAAAAGUAGACAGGAACCUCCUGAAACCGAAAGAAGGACAAAAGGCAGUGGGGAUGGAGACACCGAGAGUGGAUGACUGAUGCUCAGAAAUAUGUCUUGUUACCAGCAAUUAAACCCUGCAUCUGUUCAAAAAAAUGUAUAAAUGUACAUAUUUUCUUUUUAAUCUUCUGAAUCCAUUUAUUAAAGCUUGCUUUCCAUUGCUGUGGCAAACACCAUGACCUAAAGCAAAACAGGGAAGAAAAAUUUAUUUUGUCUUAACCGUUCAUGAAAAAAAGUCAGGAUUGGAACUCGAGGCAUAGAACCCAACUUGGGCCCUGGAGAAGAGACUAUGUUGUGUGUGGGGCGUGGGGAGGGGCGUUUACUGACUGAUGGCUUGUUCCUCAUGGCUUGCUCAGUUCUCUUCCUUAUACAAACCAGGAGGACCACCUGCCUAGGGGUGACACCACCCACAGUGGUCAGGGACUUCUCACACCAAUUA